CCUCCCCACCCUCCCAGGGAAAAAUUCCUUCCCAAUAUCCCAUCUAACCCUGCCCUCUGGCAGUGGGAAGCUAUUCCCCCUUGUCCUGGCACUCCAGGCACUUGGAAAUAGUCUCUUCCCAUCUUUCAUGUUGCCUCCUUCAGGUCCUGGAAGGCCACAAUGAGAUCUCCCCAAAGCUUCUCCUCUCCAGGCUGAACAAUCCCAGCUCUCCCAGCC